rnacentral:tRNA from 1 species
AGGUCGUUAGUGUAAAGGUUGCACAGUGGAUUCCAAAUCCUCUUGAAUGGGUUCGAUUCCUAUACGAUUCU